GCAUCAGUGGUGUAAUGGUAACAUUGGAGCUUCCCAGCCCUGGGUCACGUGAUUCGUGAUAAACUGCUCUAGCCUCGGGUUCGAUUCCCGGCUGAUGCA